AGAGUUUGAUCCUGGCUCAGGAUGAACGCUAGCGGCAGGCCUAAUACAUGCAAGUCGAACGGACAUUGGUUUUCGGAUCAAUGUUAGUGGCGCACGGGUGCGUAACGCGUACACAACAUACCUUUUACAGGGGGAUAGCGGUGGGAAACUGCCAGUAAUACCCCAUACCCUUUUGGUGUGGCAUCAUAUUAAAAGGAAAAUUACGGUGGUAAAAGAUUGGUGUGCGUCCGAUUAGCUAGUUGGCGGGGUAACGGCCCACCAAGGCGACGAUCGGUAGGGGUGUGAGAGCAUGACCCCCCACACGGGUACUGAGACACGGACCCGACUCCUACGGGAGGCAGCAGUAAGGAAUAUUGGACAAUGGACGGAAGUCUGAUCCAGCCAUGCCGCGUGAAGGAAGACUGCGCUCAGCGUUGUAAACUUCUUUGGAUGGGAAUAAUAAUGUCGACGAGAUCGGCACUUGAAGGUACCAUCAGAAUAAGCACCGGCUAACUCCGUGCCAGCAGCCGCGGUAAUACGGAGGGUGC
rnacentral:rRNA from 1 species